GACUACUGGGGUAUCUAAGCCUGUUCGCUCCCCACGCUUUCGCUCCUCAGCGUCAAUAACGGCCCAGAGACCUGCCUUCGCCAUUGGUGUUCUUCCCGAUAUCUACACAUUCCACCGUUACACCGGGAAUUCCAGUCUCCCCUACCGCAUUCUAGCCUGCCCGUACCCGGCGCAGAUCCACCGUUAAGCGAUGGACUUUCACACCGGACGCGACAAGCCGCCUACGAGCUCUUUACGCCCAAUAAUUCCGGAUAACGCUUGCACCCUACGUAUUACCGCGGCUGCUGGCACGUAGUUAGCCGGUGCUUAUUCGAAAGGUACACUCACUUACGCUUGCUCCCUAACAAAAGAGGUUUACAACCCGAAGGCCGUCAUCCCUCACGCGGCGUCGCUGCAUCAGGCUUGCGCCCAUUGUGCAAUAUUCCCCACUGCAGCCACCCGUAGG
rnacentral:rRNA from 1 species